AGCAGCUGCCAAAAAGGCUGCAGAGGAGGGCUCUAAGCAGGAAAAAGGAGGGGAACAACCAUCUAGCUCACAGGACGCAACCAUGACUGAAAGUGCCAGUGUUGCAGCUUCUGAAGCUGACAACAAGAGAAACGAUUUAACGGAUGAAGAGAAUGCUCUCCUACAGCAAGCUCUUGCAAUGUCAAUGGAUGAACCUGCCUCUAGCCAUGAAUUGCGAGAUACUGAUAUGUCAGAGGCUGCUGCAGAUGAUCCAGACUUGGC
rnacentral:misc_RNA from 1 species